rnacentral:rRNA from 1 species
AUUGAACGCUGGCGGCAGGCCUAACACAUGCAAGUCGAACGAGUGGCGGACGGGUGAGUAAUGUCUGGGAAACUGUCUGAUGGAGGGGUAUUACUACUGGAAACGUUUUCUCAUACCGCAUACCCUAGGACGUGCCCACAUGGGAUUAGCUAGUAGGGGGGGUAGAGGUUCACCUGGGCGACGAUCCCUAGCUGGACGGAGAGGAUGACCGUCCACACAGGAAGUAGGACACAGUCCAGACACCGACGGGAGACAGCAGUGGGGAAUAUUGAACAAUGGGCACAAGCCUGAUGCAGCCAUGCGACGUGUGUGAAGAAAACCUUCGGGUUGUAAAGUACUUUCAGCAGGAAGGCGUUGCCCGCAGAAGAAACACCGGCUAACUCCGUGCCAGCAGCCGCGGUAAUGC